rnacentral:rRNA from 1 species
AUUGAACGCUGGCGGCAUGCCUUACACAUGCAAGUCGAACGGCAGCACGGGAGCAAUCCUGGUGGCGAGUGGCGAACGGGUGAGUAAGGUAUCGGAACGUGCCCAGUCGUGGGGGAUAACGUAGCGAAAGUUACGCUAAUACCGCAUACGAUCUAUGGAUGAAAGCGGGGGAUCGCAAGACCUCGCGCGAUUGGAGCGGCCGAUAUCAGAUUAGGUAGUUGGUGGGGUAAAGGCUCACCAAGCCGACGAUCUGUAGCUGGUCUGAGAGGACGACCAGCCACACUGGGACUGGGACACGGCCCAGACUCCUACGGGGGGCAGCAGUGGGGAAUUUUGGACAAUGGGCGAAAGCCUGAUCCAGCCAUGCCGCGUGCAGGAUGAAGGCCUUCGGGUUGUAAACUGCUUUUGUACGGAACGAAAAGGUUUGGCCUAAUAAGCUGAGCUCAUGACGGUACCGUAAGAAUAAGCACCGGCUAACUACGUGCCAGCCGCCGCCGUAA